UCUCUGAGAACUGGGGUAGGCCACAAAUCCUGGAUGAGCCCCCACAUGUAAGACCCCCCAAAGCUGGGCCUCCACUCAAGUCCUGGGAUGAGCUGGCCAGCACCCCAAUGACCCGAGAGAAA
rnacentral:pre_miRNA from 7 species